rnacentral:rRNA from 1 species
GACGAACGCUGGCGGCGUGCUUAACACAUGCAAGUCGAACGGAAAGGCCCUGCUUUUGUGGGGUGCUCGAGUGGCGAACGGGUGAGUAACACGUGAGUAACCUGCCCUUGACUUUGGGAUAACUUCAGGAAACUGGGGCUAAUACCGGAUAGGAGCUCCUGCUGCAUGGUGGGGGUUGGAAAGUUUCGGCGGUUGGGGAUGGACUCGCGGCUUAUCAGCUUGUUGGUGGGGUAGUGGCUUACCAAGGCUUUGACGGGUAGCCGGCCUGAGAGGGUGACCGGCAAACGUGGGACUGAGAUACGGCACAGACUACUACGGGAGGCAGAAGUGGGGAAUAUUGCACAAUGGGCGGAAGCCUGAUGCAGCAACGCCGCGUGCGGGAUGACGGCCUUCGGGUUGUAAACCGCUUUCGCCUGUGACGAAGCGUGAGUGACGGUAAUGGGUAAAGAAGCACCGGCUAACUACGUG